AGCCAAAAUAAAACGUUUUACUAUGAUUGGUUUAGUCUGCACAUAAUGCAAUGUAUAACCCAAUCAUGGAUGGAUACGCGUAAUGCGCACAUAAAGACACAUCCGUGAAGGAAUUCGAUUAUCUGGCCCGGGUUGGUCCCUACCCCAUUGAGAUUUCCAUUUAAAAAUGGUUAAAGAGCGACUGCCCCUAAAAAACAGCGAUGUGGCAUUGAUAUGAGUCAGAAACAUGUAUUAUAGUGUCAAACUUGACUACAAAGUGUAAAAAUAAUAAUUUUGUUCAUGAAGUCAGUCUUGUCUAAACCCGAGUUUAGAACCUCGGGGCAUCACACCGAGUAAAUUAAGGUUGGGUUUCGAUUACAAUUAUGUCAAUAAAUCAUGCCCCUUUUGUCAAACUCCACGUGUAAAUUGCCCCUCCCACUUCGUUCCCCUUCAUGGAAUGUAGCUCAGUUGUUUCUUCGUCCUAAACCAAAGCGAUCAUGGCCGUUUGAGACUGAAAAGCCCUAUACAGAUUGACGAUGCAAAGCAUGCUUCCAGCUAGGUUGAAGACGAAGUGCAUAGUUGGGUGCCAGACUGCUCCUUCUGGUAGGUUCCAGCAUCCGUUCAUGACCACGGGAUCAAAGCUUGUCAGGCAAGACCUCAGAAUAAGUGUGUUUCACAACAAGUACUCUUGUGACACCUCAUCCGUUGUUGCCGGUCUCCCUCAACUCUGAUGAAAAGGACACGCCAUCAUGAGGCCUCUGACCGUGACCCGAGUUACUGCCCUGACGACAGAGAUGGCUUCAUC